UAACGUAGGGUGCGAGCGUUAAUCGGAAUUACUGGGCGUAAAGCGUGCGCAGGCGGUUUUGUAAGCCGGAUGUGAAAUCCCCGGGCUUAACCUGGGAAUGGCAUUCGGGACUGCAAGGCUGGAGUGCGGCAGAGGAGACUGGAAUUCCCGGUGUAGCGGUGAAAUGUGUAGAGAUCGGGAGGAACACCGGUGGCGAAGGACAGCCCCCUGGGCCUGAACACUGACGCUCAGGCACGAAAGCGUGGGGAGCAAACGAGGAU
rnacentral:rRNA from 1 species